UACAGAGGGGGCAAGCGUUGUUCGGAAUUACUGGGCGUAAAGGGCGCGUAGGCGGCCUGUUAAGUCGAACGUGAAAUCCCCGGGCUCAACCCGGGAACUGCGUCCGAUACUGGCAGGCUUGAAUUCGGGAGAGGGAUGUGGAAUUCCAGGUGUAGCGGUGGAAAUGCGUAGAUAUCUGGAGGAACACCGGUGGCGAAGGCGGCGAUC
rnacentral:rRNA from 1 species